GGCUGGAUGUGGAAUUGGAAGAGGAUUUUUUUUUCUCACAAUGUCACAAUUGAAGUGUGUUUGUCUGAUCUGUCAAUCUAUCAUUGCUAUUCCAAAGAAGGAAAAUGUGGAAAGGCACUUUCGAACUGUUCAUAAAAACUACGAAACUGACUUCCUUCCGAAAAGCGAUCUGAGAAAGAGAAAGGAGAGGGAACUAAAAUCGCACUGGAGACGCAAUGGAAGGCGUGUGCACAACUUGACAGCAUACGCUACACAGAGCAGAUUGAAAUUUGCCUGUCAGACUUUAACAGAUGG